UCCCUCCCAAAGCUGCGCGCUCUGCUGAAGAGGACGACCUUCCCCGAUAGAAGGAAGACCGUCCUUCGGUCAAGGGUAUACGAGUAGCUGCGCUCCCCUGCUAGAACCUCCAAACAAGUCUCAAGGUCCAGC
rnacentral:sRNA from 1 species